UAUAUUUUAAAUUCUAAAUUUCAAUUUUAACUUAUAAUAUUUAUUUCCAAUUUUGUAACUUCAAAAUUUAAAAUUUUAAAUCUCUAAACUCUAUGAUUUAAUUAAUUUAAUUUUAUUAAUAAUACGCGUAAUAAAUUGCACAAUAAAAUCUAACAUGAUAGAUUUAAUUUAAAUCACGUAAAAUAUUGUUGUAUAAAAAAUUACAUAAUUUUAAAUUUCAAGUGAAAAAUUUUAAAAAUAUAGUGUAUAUGUGUAUAUAUAUAUAUAUAUAAUUAAUUUUAUUAAGCAAUUUCUUCUACAAAUUUAUUUCCCUUCUAUCUAUUAAUUUUUUAAAAAUUAUUUUGAUAGAUUUAUCUCUUUAUAAAAUAAAGUGAUGUAUAAAUUACUUGCACAUAUACCAAUUUUAAUAAUUUUUAUUUAAAUAGAUUUAACUAUUACAUCAAUUAAUAAUUAGACUUACAAAACUAUAUAAAAAUAUUAAAAAAAUAAAAUUUAUUAUCAAAAUAUUUUUAGAUCCGCAGCAUCGCGCGGGUAUUUCACUAGUUAUACUUUAAACUAGAGAAAGUAACAAAUCAUCUUAAAUUUUAAUAAAACCAUUU
rnacentral:lncRNA from 1 species